AACGAACGCUGGCGGCAUGCCUAACACAUGCAAGUCGAACGAGACCUUCGGGUUUAGUGGCGCACGGGUGCGUAACGCGUGGGAACCUGCCCUUAGGUUCGGAAUAACUCCCCGAAAGGGAUGCUAAUACCGGAUAAUGUCUUCGGACCAAAGAUCUAUCGCCUUUGGAUGGGCCCGCGUUGGAUUAGCUAGUUGGUAGGGUAAAAGCCUACCAAGGCGACGAUCCAUAGCUGGUCUGAGAGGAUGAUCAGCCACACUGGGACUGAGACACGGCCCAGACUCCUACGGGAGGCAGCAGUGGGGAAUAUUGGACAAUGGGCGAAAGCCUGAUCCAGCAAUGCCGCGUGAGUGAUGAAGGCCUUAGGGUUGUAAAGCUCUUUUACCCGGGAUGAUAAUGACAGUACCGGGAGAAUAAGCACCGGCUAACUCCGUG
rnacentral:rRNA from 1 species